GUGGUAAGGUCUUUAACCUGACA
rnacentral:misc_RNA from 1 species